rnacentral:rRNA from 1 species
GACAGAGGCCUCAAGCGUUAGGCGGAGUCACUGGGCUUAAAGCGUGUGUAGGCGGAUGCCUAAGUACCUUGUGAAAUCCCACGGCUCAACCGUGGAACUGCUGGGUAUACUGGGCGUCUUGGGCCAUUCAGGGGCGACUGGAACAAGCGGUGGAGCGGUGAAAUGCGUAGAUAUCGCUUGGAACGCCGAAGGUGAAAACAGGUCGCUGGGGAUGUGCCGACGCUGAGACACGAAAGCCAGGGGAGCAAACGGG